rnacentral:tRNA from 1 species
AGAAAUUUAGUUCAAUUAGACCAAGAGCCUUCAAAGCCCUAAGUAGAGGUGAAACUCCUCUAGUUUCUG